rnacentral:sRNA from 1 species
UAGCGCAGUGGGUAGAGCAGUUGACUUUUAAUCAAUUGAUCAAAGGUUCGAGCCGAGCGAAGCGAGACGACAACGCGCCAGCGUUGCCCGAAGGGCGAGGCCAGAGGCCGAGUCAAUCCUGCACGACCCACCA